rnacentral:misc_RNA from 1 species
UGUGGGAGCUGGCUUGCCUGCGAUAGCGCUGGGUCAGUUAACCGAUAUUUGACUGACCCAGCGCUAUCGCAGGCAAGCCAGCUCCCACA